rnacentral:rRNA from 1 species
UACGUAGGGUGCGAGCGUUGUCCGGAAUUAUUGGGCGUAAAGAGCUCGUAGGCGGUCUGUCGCGUCGGAUGUGAAAACACGGGGCUCAACCCCGUGCCUGCAUUCGAUACGGGCAGACUAGAGUUCGGUAGGGGAGACUGGAAUUCCCGGUGUAGCGGUGAAAUGCGCAGAUAUCGGGAAGAACACCCGUGGCUAAGGCGGCUCUCUAGUACGGUACUGACGCUGAGACGCGAAAGCGUGGGGAGCGAACAGG